AUAUCAAUAAGCGGAGGAAAAGAAACCAACAGGGAUUGCCCUAGUAACGGCGAGUGAAGCGGCAACAGCUCAAAUUUGAAAUCUGGCUCUUUCAGAGUCCGAGUUGUAAUUUGCAGAGGGCGCUUUGGCUUUGGCAGCGGUCCAAGUUCCUUGGAACAGGACGUCACAGAGGGUGAGAAUCCCGUACGUGGUCGCUAGCUAUUGCCGUGUAAAGCCCCUUCGACGAGUCGAGUUGUUUGGGAAUGCAGCUCUAAAUGGGAGGUAAAUUUCUUCUAAAGCUAAAUAUUGGCCAGAGACCGAUAGCGCACAAGUAGAGUGAUCGAAAGAUGAAAAGCACUUUGGAAAGAGAGUCAAACAGCACGUGAAAUUGUUGAAAGGGAAGCGCUUGCAGCCAGACUUGCUUGCAGUUGCUCAUCCGGGCUUUUGCCCGGUGCACUCUUCUGCAGGCAGGCCAGCAUCAGUUUGGGCGGUGGGAUAAAGGUCUCUGUCACGUACCUCUCUUCGGGGAGGACUUAUAGGGGAGGCGACAUACCACCAGCCUGGACUGAGGUCCGCGCAUCUGCUAGGAUGCUGGCGUAAUGGCUGUAAGCGGCCCGUCUUGAAACACGGACCAAGGAGUCUAACAUCUAUGCGAGUGUUUGGGUGUCAAGCCCGAGCGCGUAAUGAAAGUGAACGGAGGUGGGAACCCGCAAGGGCGCACCAUCGACCGAUCCUGAAGUUUACGGAAGGAUUUGAGUAAGAGCAUGGCUGUUGGGACCCGAAAGAUGGUGAACUAUGCUUGAAUAGGGUGAAGCCAGAGGAAACUCUGGUGGAGGCUCGCAGCGGUUCUGACGUGCAAAUCGAUCGUCAAAUUUGGGCAUAGGGGCGAAAGACUAAUCGAACUAUCUAGUAGCUGGUUCCUGCC
rnacentral:rRNA from 1 species